rnacentral:rRNA from 1 species
AUUGAACGCUGGCGGCAGGCAUAACACAUGCAAGCAGAACGGGUGGCGGACGGGUGAGUAAUGUCUGGGAAACUGCCUUAUGGAGGGGGAUAACUACUGUAAACGGUAGCUAAUACCGCAUACCAUCAGAUGUGCCCAGAUGGGAUUAGCUAGUAGGUGGGGUAAUGGCUCACCUAGGCGACGAUCCCUAGCUGGUCUGAGAGGAUGACCACCCACACUGCAACGGAGACACCGUCCAGACUCCUACGGGAGGCAGCAGUAGGGUAGAUUGCACAAUGGCCGACGGCCUGAUGAGGCCCUGACGCGUGUGUGACGAAGGCCUUCGGGCUGUAGCCCUCUGUCAGCGAGGAGGCGUUACUCGGACAAGAAGCAUAGGCUAAACCCGUACCAGCAGCCGCGGUAAUAC